UGGGAGAUAUUGGACAAUGGGCGAAAGCCUGAUCCAGCCAUGCCGCGUGUGUGAAGAAGGUCUUCGGAUUGUAAAGCACUUUAAGUUGGGAGGAAGGGCAGUAAGUUAAUACCUUGCUGUUUUGACGUUACCGACAGAAUAAGCACCGGCUAACUCUGUGCCAGCAGCCGCGGUAAUACAGAGGGUGCAAGCGUUAAUCGGAAUUACUGGGCGUAAAGCGCGCGUAGGUGGUUUGUUAAGUUGGAUGUGAAAGCCCGCCGGCUCAACCUGGGAACUGCAUCCAAAACUGGCAAGCUAGAGUACGGUAGAGGGUGGUGGAAUUUCCUGUGUAGCGGUGAAAUGCGUUAGAUAUAGGAAGGAACACCAGUGGCGAAGGCGACCACCUGGACUGAUACUGACACUGAGGUGCG
rnacentral:rRNA from 1 species